UGUGAGCUUUAAUUUAAGAAGAAAAAUGGGAAAUCCACAAGAAUUGUGAAGGACACCUCAGAUCCCAGGAAGGAGAAUUCAGGCAAAAAGCCCCCAUGCUGGCAUCAGGCUGAUAAGAUUUCAGUCAAGGAGAUGCCUACCUGGGGACAGAAUCUGGGAAAGACCUCAAAAUAAAUCUUCUCAAGGCACCCGGAGGCAAACGAGGCAUAGACACACUCGGAUAAAAGCUGUCUUCAAGUCAGAGCCCUCCCUAGGGCUCCAGGCAGAGCAAAGGACCAGAUCUCCCCCUCUGCACUCCCCACCUACAGAUGAGCACCCAGGCAGGGGACACUCAAAGCAGG
rnacentral:lncRNA from 1 species